rnacentral:rRNA from 1 species
GAUGAACGCUGGCGGCGUGCCUAAUACAUGCAAGUCGAGCGCGUGAAACUAAAUGGAUCUCUUCGGAGUGACGCUUAGUGGAUCGAGCGGCGGAUGGGUGAGUAACACGUGGGCAACCUGCCUAUAAGACUGGGAUAACUUACGGAAACGUGAGCUAAUACCGGAUGAAACCUUUUGUCACCUGGCAAGAGGAUGAAAGAUGGCGUAAGCUAUCACUUAUAGAUGGGCCCGCGGCGCAUUAGCUAGUUGGUGAGAUAAAAGCUCACCAAGGCAACGAUGCGUAGCCGACCUGAGAGGGUGAUCGGCCACACUGGGACUGAGACACGGCCCAGACUCCUACGGGAGGCAGCAGUAGGGAAUCUUCCGCAAUGGACGAAAGUCUGACGGAGCAACGCCGCGUGAACGAAGAAGGUUCUCGGAUCGUAAAGUUCUGUUGUUAGGGAAGAACACGUACCAUUCGAAUAGGGUGGUACCUUGACGGUACCUAACGAGAAAGCCCCGGCUAACUACGUGCCAGCAGCCGCGGUAAUACGUAGGGGGCAAGCGUUGUCCGGAAUUAUUGGGCGUAAAGCGCGCGCAGGCGGUUCUUUAAGUCUGAUGUGAAAUCUUGCGGCUCAACCGCAAGCGGUCAUUGGAAACUGGAGAACUUGAGGACAGAAGAGGAGAGUGGAAUUCCACGUGUAGCGGUGAAAUGCGUAGAGAUGUGGAGGAACACCAGUGGCGAAGGCGACUCUCUGGUCUGUAACUGACGCUGAGGUGCGAAAGCGUGGGUAGCGAACAGGAUUAGAUACCCUGGUAGUCCACGCCGUAAACGAUGAGUGCUAGGUGUUAGGGGGUUUCCGCCCCUUAGUGCUGGCGUUAACGCAUUAAGCACUCCGCCUGGGGAGUACGGCCGCAAGGCUGAAACUCAAAAGAAUUGACGGGGA